rnacentral:ncRNA from 1 species
CAUCGUGAGGUGGAAUCUGAAGGAAGUCGGAGGCAAAGUCUCGGUAUGAGGAACACGAACUACAUACAAGGCUUAUUAAAGUCGGAUGAGUUUGCAAUACAAAACAAAGUCCAACACUACCCAAAACUUUAGGAGUAAAUGUAGCAGAUAUAUGAGAUGAAGGUUAC